rnacentral:rRNA from 1 species
CCUACGGGUGGCAGCAGUGGGGAAUAUUGCACAAUGGGGGAAACCCUGAUGCAGCGACGCCGCGUGAGUGAAGAAGUAUUUCGGUACGUAAAGCUCUAUCAGCAGGGAAGAAAAUGACGGUACCUGACUAAGAAGCCCCGGCUAACUACGUGCCAGCAGCCGCGGUAAUACGUAGGGGGCAAGCGUUAUCCGGAUUUACUGGGUGUAAAGGGAGCGUAGACGGCAGCGCAAGUCUGGAGUGAAAUCCCAUGGCUUAACCAUGGAACUGCUUUGGAAACUGUGCAGCUAGAGUGCAGGAGAGGUGAGCGGAAUUCCUAGUGUAGCGGGGAAAUGCGUAGAUAUUAGGAGGAACACCAGUGGCGAAGGCGGCUUACUGGACUGUAACUGACGUUGAGGCUCGAAAGCGUGGGGAGCAAACAGGAUUAGAUUCCCCAGUAGUC